CGAACUUGAUCCUUCAUAUUAAAAAGGGCUCUGACCAGUGGCAUAGGGCAGUAUGGAGCUCUGUCUCAUAAUGCUCAGUCUCUUUACAACAUUAGAGAAAAGCUGGUUCUUGAUUCUGCACCUACAUAUUCCUGCAACUUCUUAGACUCUUAUGGACAGCAGCUGAGGAGACAAACUGCUCAGGAAAGUAUU
rnacentral:snoRNA from 1 species